UGGGGGAUAUUGCACAAUGGGCGAAAGCCUGAUGCAGCGACGCCGCGUGGGGGAUGAAGGCUUUCGGGUUGUAAACCUCUUUCGCUAUCGAACAAGGCCCGCUUAGGGUGGGUUGAGGGUAGGUGGAGAAGAAGCGCCGGCUAACUACGUGCCAGCAGCCGCGGUAAUACGUAGGGCGCGAGCGUUGUCCGGAAUUAUUGGGCGUAAAGGGCUUGUAGGCGGCUUGUUGCGCCUGCUGUGAAAACGCGGGGCUUAACUUCGGGCGUGCAGUGGGUACUGGCAGGCUUGAGUGUGGUAGGGGUGACUGGAAUUCCAGGUGUAGCGGUGUAAUGCGCAGAUAUCUGGAGGAACACAGAUGGCGAAGGCAGGUCACUGGGCCAUUACUGACGCUGAGGAGCGAAAGCAUGGGUAGCGAACAGG
rnacentral:rRNA from 1 species